CGCACAUUGCACCUUUUGGUAUUCCGAAAGGUAUGCUUGUUCGAGCGUCGUUUAAACUAUAUCAAUUUGAUUAUUGAUGUCUUGAGUCUUAUUAUUUUAAAUAAAUGAUAUACUCCAAAAUCAUUGAAGCGAUUUAGAAUUUUAAUAUAGAUUGAACGCAUUAAAGUUUUACUACUACGUACAAAUAAUAUUAUUCUGAAGCAGCCAGAUUUUAAAACAAUGACUUUUUACUAAAAAAAUCAUAUUUUAUCAUUAUUAUCGACCUCGAAUCAAGUAGGAUUACCCGCUGAACUUAA
rnacentral:misc_RNA from 1 species